GAGAAGUUGGGGAUGCGACACAAAGAGCACAUCUCCGCCUAUGGCGAGGGUAACGAGAGGAGAUUGACUGGCCACCACGAGACCGCUGACAUCCACACCUUCAGCUCGGUACGGUCCAAAUUUUGUUUCGUAUGGUCCAAAAUUGGUUUCGUAUAUGUUCCCUAUUGCAUGAGGAUAGAAUCCACUCCUAACAAUUGUACACCACUCUCAUAUGUACUUGUUGGAAUUCGGCAGGGCGUGGCCAACAGAGGAGCAUCGAUCCGUAUCGGGAGGGACACCGAGAAGGAUGGAAAAGGUUACUUUGAGGACAGAAGGCCGGCCUCGAACAUGGAUCCGUACGUGGUAACAUCCAUGAUUGCUGAGACCACCAUUCUGUGGAAGCCUUGAACGAGGGGGAGAGAGAGAGAGAUUUAACCAAAGAAGGAUUUGAUUCUGGGAAUUGCCAUUUAGCAUUUGAUAUUAUGAAGAAAAACAAAACAGUUGGUGUUAAUUUACAGAUACUGGUCUGCGAUUCCCUGGCGUUGUGUUGUACCAUGGUUUGUGGUUGGGUUGUUACAGUUUGGUCGUUCUGUGUUGGAAACUGUUGGAGUCUGGUUUGGCUCGUCAGUUUUAGUUUUACUGUUAUGGCUUGUUUGCUGCUGCUUGUUUAUUUACAAUAAAAUAAAACCCACAUGUUAAUUGUUUUUACUUUA
rnacentral:lncRNA from 1 species